rnacentral:rRNA from 1 species
GUCUACGGCCAUUCCACCCUGAACGCGGCCGAUCUCAUCUGAUCUGGGAAGCUAAGCAGGGUCGGGCCCGGCUAGUUCGUGGAUGGGAGAACAGCACGGCGGGAAGCCUGGGCA